AACGAACGCUGGCGGCAGGCUUAACACAUGCAAGUCGAACGCACCUUUCGGGGUGAGUGGCAGACGGGUGAGUAACACGUGGGAACGUACCCUUUUGUUCGGAAUAACCCUGGGAAACUAGGGCUAAUACCGGAUACGCCCUAACGGGGAAAGGUUUACUGCAGGAGGAUCGGCCCGCGUCCGAUUAGCUAGUUGGUUGGGGUAAUGGCUCACCAAGGCGACGAUCGGUAGCUGGUCUGAGAGGAUGGCCAGCCACAUUGGGACUGAGACACGGCCCAAACUCCUACGGGAGGCAGCAGUGGGGAAUAUUGGACAAUGGGCGCAAGCCUGAUCCAGCCAUGCCGCGUGAGUGAUGACGGCCUUAGGGUUGUAAAGCUCUUUUACCUGGGAAGAUAAUGACGGUACCAGGAGAAUAAGCCCCGGCUAACUUCGUGCCAGCCGCCGCAGUAACAC
rnacentral:rRNA from 1 species